rnacentral:lncRNA from 1 species
AGGCUUAUUGUGAAAGAAAGAGGAAGCGAGGUUGAUCCUGCUAAAAAAAAAAAGAAAAGAAAAAAGAAAGAAAAAAGCAAUACAAGAAAUGCCUGAACUGAGAACAGAAAAAGGAGGUUCGUGGUUUCUUAGGUAGAUUGAACUGCAUCUCACGGUUCACAUCUCAUCUAACAGCCUGGUGUGAAACCAUUCAGGCUGUUGAAAGAAA